rnacentral:lncRNA from 1 species
UGAAGAAGAACCCAUUGCCCGAACAUGGGAAAUCUGUCAACAUGGUCCAGGGUUGCCCUGGAAAAUACAAGGUCAAAUAUGUCAGUCAUAUUCAAUAGUCUCUGGUCCAGAUGCAUCGUUUGUUGUGUGACUACAAUCAUUAUGAGCAUGACCAUGAUAGAUGCCGAGUCUGCUCUGUUAACCGAUUGGGUUGUUGCCAGGUGCGCAAG